rnacentral:rRNA from 1 species
GCUUGUCUCAAAGAUUAAGCCAUGCAUGUCUAAGUACAAGCCUCAGUAAGGUGAAACCGCGAAUGGCUCAUUAAAUCACACCUAAUCUACUGGAAAGUUACUAGUUACUUGGAUAACUGAGGUAAUUCUUGAGCUAAUACAUGCGAAAAAUCUCGACUCACGGAGAGAUGCUUUUAUUAGAUCAAAACCAAUCGUAGCGAUACGUUUUUUGGUGAAUCAUGAUAACUUUUCGAAUCGCACGACAUUGUUGGCGAUGGUUCAAUCAAAUUUCUGCCCUAUCACCUUUCGAUGGUAGUAUAGAGGACUACCAUGGGUAUAACGGGUAACGGAGAAUUAGGGUUCGAUUCCGGAGAGGGAGCCUGAGAAACGGCUACCACAUCCAAGGAAGGCAGCAGG